GCCUCCCUCCGCCGCCACUCAGACUCCUACCGGAGGGCAGCAGUGGGGAAGUAUUGGACAAUGGGCGCAAGCCUGAUCCAGCCAUGCCGCGUGUGUGAUGAAGGCCUUAGGGUUGUAAAGCACUUUUGUCAGGGAAGAUAAUGACGGUACCUGAAGAAUAAGCACCGGCUAACUUCGUGCCAGCAGCCGCGGUAAUAC
rnacentral:rRNA from 1 species